rnacentral:lncRNA from 1 species
GCGGGAGCCGUCUGCCGGGCCAGGCGGGGACCCUUCUCGCUGCCCCGGGCCGCCGGGGGCCGCUUGCAGAGCCGGUUGGGUGGUGGCUGCGGGAUUGGACCUCUGCGCCCACGUGGCCGGCCAAGAUUCACUUGUCUGGGGCCAACUGUCACCUCUAAUAUAACUUACUACUUCCUGGCAGGUCUCCUUUCAGCGGAAUUUUGCUAGAAGUUCCUCAGUAGGUAGAAUGUAGCUGUUUUAAUGGGUGUUUCUGAUCCGGUUAAUGUGGAGAUACUGAAAGUGCUGCUUCCUUGCCGGCCGCCAUGUUGGAUCCCCCCACUAAAAAAUAUUUUAAAAAAAAGAAAUUUGAUGGGCUGGGGAUGUGGCUCAAGCAGUAAUGCGCUCGCUUGGCAUGUGUGGGGCGCUGGGUUCGAUCCUCAGCACCACAUAAAAAUAAAAUAAAGAUGUUGUGUCCACCGAAAACUGAAAAAUAAAUAUUUUAAAAUCCCCCCUCUCUCCUCUCUCUCUCUAAAAAAAGAAAUUAGAGAUAUAGAUCUGGCAGUAACCUGCAAAUAGAUGACAUUGAAACCAGAGGGUGGAAAGUCUUCUUCAUAACUAGAGUAUGUGGUAGAGAACAUGGACACCUAUAGACUAUAUAUUUCUAGAACAGGGGGAAAGGAAACCACAAAGGAGUUUGUAAAAGAGUGGUCAGAUAGGAAGAAGAGGGCUGGAAACCAACCAUAAGUAGAACUUAAGAAAAACUGGCUCGAGAUAUGAAAGUCCAUGAAUAUUAGAUAAAAAUUGGGAAGGAGAAAAAUUUCAGGUAACAGUUUCUAACCCCUGGUACCUGGUACCUGUAAAUAUAACCUUACCUGAAAAUACUAUCUUUGCAGAUAUAAUCAGGUUAAAAGGAGACCAUACUGGA